CAGGAAGAGGGAGAGAGGAAAAUCCAAGGCGAACUGCAGUCCAUCGCGGGGGUUUGAUGAGGGAAAGAGAGAGAACGAUACCGCUUCGGUGGCCACGUCGGUGGGCUUCGAGGCCAGGAAUGGAGCACGCAACGGCGGUGUCCGCUGCUGGUAGUAGUGGUUUGGCUCCGGCACCGGCCAUGGCGAUGGGAACCUGAACCCUUAUUUCUUGUUCCUUGCCUUUCUUCCGAAUUUUGCAGCGCGGGCUUCGAUCGCCCUCGCUUUUGGAAAAAACGUCUUUAUUAGUUCCCGGCUAAAUAACGGCCAGGGUAAUAGCCAAGGAGCAUGGUCUGCCACUCCGCGGAGCAAUACAAGCAACGAUAUGUCCGUGCCGUGGACAGGUUCGUGUUACUAGAGCCGGCCUAUCCCAUCCAACGACGGAGCUACAAUUCCGGUUCGGAUUUGAAUCUUGAAC
rnacentral:lncRNA from 1 species